rnacentral:siRNA from 1 species
GCACAAGUUGUACAAACGUU